UUUCCGUAGGUGAACCUGCGGAAGGAUCAUUAACGAGUUAGGGUCUUCCGGGCCGACCUCCCAACCCUAUGUUUAUUGAACCUCUGUUGCUUCGGCGGACCCGCCUCACGGCCGCCGGAGGACCGCUGCAAGGCGUCCUCUGGCCAGCGUCCGCCGAUGGCCAACCACUUAAACUCUGAAUGAAUCGUGUCAUAUGUCUAAGUCUAUGAUUAAAUUAAAGCAAAACUUUCAACAACGGAUCUCUUGGUUCUG
rnacentral:misc_RNA from 1 species